rnacentral:rRNA from 1 species
AGUAAAUAGAUACCCCGGUAGUCCACGCCCUAAACGAUGCAUAUUUGGUGUGGGCAGUUCAUUCUGUCCGUGCCGGAGCUAAACGCGUUAAAUAUGCCGCCUGGGGAGUACAGUCGCAAGGCUGAAACUCAAAGGAAUUGACGGGGGCCCGCACAAGCGGUGGAGCAUGUGGUUCAAUUCGACGCAACGCGAAGAACCUUACCUGGGCUCGAACGGCUGGUCAACGGCGGUGGAAACAUCGCUACCCCGCAAGGGGGUCCAGUCGAGGUGCUGCAUGGCUGUCGUCAGCUCGUGUCGUGAGAUGUUGGGUUAAGUCCCGCAACGAGCGCAACCCUUGUCCUGUGUUGCCAUCAUUCAGUUGGGAACUCGCAGGAGACCGCCAGGGAUAACCUGGAGGAAGGUGGGGAUGACGUCAAGUCCUCAUAGCCUUUAUGUCCAGGGCUACACACGUGCUACAAUGGACGGUACAAAGCGCAGCGAACCCGCGAGGGGAGCCAAUCGCAAAAAACCGUUCUCAGUUCGGAUUGCAGG